CAAUAGCGUAUAUUUAAGUUGCUGCAGUUAAAAAGCUCGUAGUUGGAUUUCGGGUGGGAAUGGCCGGUCCGCCGUUUCGGUGUGCACUUGCUACGCCCACCUUGCUGCCGGGGACGUGAUCUUGAGUUCACGCUCGGGACACGGAGUCGGCGAGGUUACUUUGAGUAAAUUAGAGUGUUCAAAGCAGGCCUACGCUCUGAAUACAUUAGCAUGGAAUAACACGAUAGGACUCUGGCCUAUCUUGUUGGUCUGUAGGACCGGAGUAAUGAUUAAGAGGGACAGUCGGGGGCAUUCGUAUUUCAUUGUCAGAGGUGAAAUUCUUGGAUUUAUGAAAGACGAACUACUGCGAAAGCAUUUGCCAAGGAUGUUUUCAUUAA
rnacentral:rRNA from 1 species